ACAGCAAGGCCCGAUGUCCUAGCCCUCUUGACACACCGGCGCAUCUGCGUGCGAUACACAUUAUGAUCUACUCACCCACCGUCCUACGCCAGCCUGGCCACAGCGUGGCAGGAUUUCCUGCACCACAGAGAAAUACCAGGAGAGCACAAACAAACCAUCAAACAAUACCUAAACCUUAGGAAAGGCAAGUGAGGUAAUUUGCUGCCACUUCAAGAUAAUUUGGGAAGGGGGAAUAUUGUGCUGAACAGCUGAAGAUGGAAUUUCUUUGCUGUAGAAGAAGCUUAUUAAUUCCAGAGUCUGGGAAAGUGCUAAUACGUGCUGCUCCUCUUUAAUUUCCAUUUCAUGAUUAACAACUGUUUACUACUUGAUGUUUAUAUAAACAAAGGCAUCUUGAUUAGAAAUAAUGUUUAUGUUUUAUAUUUAUUUUGGCAUAUUUAUAACAGUUAAAACAAACAUGAUGGAUGGAUUUACAUUGUUAGCAUAUCUGUCAUUCAAAAAUAUAAUAAAUAAAAUUCAACAUUCAGCAAA